CGAUCGGCGGCCAUUUUUUGGAGCCAGACUAAAAAACUGUUUUAAAACGAUAAUUUGUGGAUAGAAGUAUGGUGUUUUGUUGUGCUUUUGGCUGUAAAAGCCAAAAUGACCCAAAGAAUCUGGAAUCACCUUUUACAGGUUUCCAAAUUCCAAACAAUGAGAAUUUCAGAUUGGACACCUUCACCUAAUGAUUUGUUCAAGACAUUUUGAAAAGUCACUUUUUUAUAAAUGACGCUGUGCCAACACUAUUUCCAGACCUACCAGUCCAUAAAAAUGAGACAAAAAGAAGAGCAACGAAGAUGUGAACUCACAUUGAUGAUGAUCUAUCCUUACUAGAACUCCUUCUAAUGAAGAUACUUAAAAAAAACUCAGAAAGUAGCUAUUCAAACAGGUUAUAAAAAGUAAUCAGAAAUUAAAAUAAACAAGAAAUUUAAAAAAAUCAAAGUUUUAGGACAAAAAUUAAAAGAUAAGAAAAAAAUUGUUUCUUUAAAAAACAUUAUACAUGAAUUUUUACAGUCAAGAAAUUUAGUUUCUUUUGAAAAUGUAUUAAUAUUAGACAGAGUGGCAAAAAUUGCAAAAAAGAAGUACUAAAACGUCAAUCUGGGAAAAAAUAUUCCCUAGAUUUACGAAAAUUUGCCUUAAUAUUAAGUUUUUUUUCUUCAAAAGUUAAUGAUUUUUGAAGACAAAUAUUUGAUACUUGUUUACCACAUCAAAGCACGAUUCAAAAUGCCCAACUUGAUUUUCAAGAUUUGAAGCCAUAUUCUUAACAUGCUGAUAAAAAUAUUACAAGAUAUACGAAUCAUGGCAGGUUCUUCUCGUUUUAACAACCCUGAUUUACAUAUGAAUUUCAGUAAAGCCCCUCCUACUAAAAUAAUAGAAGAUGUAAGCCCUUUACAUCAAGUUUGGCAUGAUCAUUCAUAUAUAAUGAAUACUCAUAUAAUAAGCAAUUUCAUACCAAAUUAUUAUUUUAUAUCCCAUUACUUGCAGAAAGUUUCAACCUGUGAACAAUGUAAUAAGUCAUUAAUUGAAAAAAAAAGAACAUUUUUUGAACUCUCUAAUUAAUCAAAAAAGACAUGGUGGGUUAACAUAUCCCUCUAAAGAUGCUAUUAUCAUAUACAAAAUUGUAGAGCAUUUUUUAAG